AGGGGAGGUACAAAAGUCCAAUGGAAGGCAUUUGCAUGCACAAUAUAUACACAGACAUCUACAUUUAAUGCCCCCUGUGUGUUGGUCACUUUGUCCUGGUGCAGGGCCCCGCUGCCUCUCAGAACUGCAGUCAGAGUGUGUUCUAUUCUUUAUGACUUCACCAUAUUUCACAGACACCUGUGUCAGAAUUUGCCUGCCACAUUCUACCCUGGUGUUUUCACAGGGCCGAACAGGCUCACAUACAUCACUUUUAUUUUCUUUCGGAAGUUCUUCCGUGUGUGAGGUUGCUUCCUUCCCAAAGUAUGACCACUAGGGUGGCCUUUAAAAUUCUGCCAUCUUGCUUCCCCAGAACAACAGACACGGCAUCUGCAGGCCAGCCACAAAAUGGACCUGCCUAUUGAGACCCAGCAGCUGUGGCAAGCAUUUACUACCAACAAGAGGCAGUUCCAAGAGAAGAAUAUAAAACACGCUCUGCUCAACCCCACGAAACUCGGAGUGUCUCACAAUGGCCAAUUUAUUAUUUUUACCCUGUCCAGUGACACGGAAGGAUGCAUCAGGGAGCUGCUAGCCUCUGCGAUGAAUAACUUAAGUCAGGCUGCAACAUGUGAAGUAAUUCAGCUGACCAGGAUUUAUAACGCUAGCUGGAGUUUUCUGCUUUCUUUGGGGUUCAUGAAGCAUGGUGUUGCAAGAGACCACAGGAGUCCUGUGAUGAGAUGUUGUCCCAGAUGGUCUCACCUACCCGAUGCCCCAUGGACUAUGCUGGGCUGGAAUUUCUUCUGCAUGUUAUUUAUGUGUACUUGACCAAACUAGAGAGGCAGGAAUGCAGGUACGAUGUCCAGGUCGGCCCACCCCUUUCCUGCAGGCAGGCUGGAAGGAUUGGAACAGGAUGGCAUGGAGUAAACAUAUCUCAGCAGCUACCUGGAGCAGGUAGACUUUCACGACACUGAGAAGAGUCUAGAUCUUCGCUCUCCCGGUGGGCUAUGGGACACUCACUCAUCUCAAACCUUGGACGCUGUAUUUACAGAGUCCAAGGAUGGAAAUGACCUUAGAAGAUGGCUGGAAUUCCCAUUUUUCAAAGGGGCAAUAAUUUGUGUGUCCUUUUUGUGUGUUGGCACUUCAGAGCAAUGUUAAAAGAAGAAAAAACAAAAACAUAAAACCACUCCCACACGAUUGUGUAGUCAUUCUGAUCCCUAUUUUAACCAGGGAAUUUAAUGAGAGUUCCCCAAUCUGUGGAGAAAGGAGAAAAUGCCCACAGGGUGAGGAUUUGGCCGAUGCCUGUAGGUCUCUGUUGACAAAGCAGCCUUUGAAUCUGUGGUACCUCUGAAUGGAGUCCUACCAUCUUUCAAGGUUAUUGCCUGACUACAGGUUAAAUAUCUUAAUAUUCACUGAUUGGGGGAAAGCACUACGAGCAAAUUGAAUGCAAGGUCCAGGAACACCCAGGUCUUUGGUGACUAUAUAAAAUGUAAAUGCAUUCUUUAUUAUCUCAAGUCACUGCACGCCCAAGUGGCUCUUCUGUAAGAAAAACAUAGCUUGCUGAUAAUGAGCAUGAAAAUUACUAAGGAAUGGGCAGAGUAAAUCUCUCAAAUCUUUUCUGUCUCCGCCCUCCCCCCACCCCCAUUUCGGAACCAUGAUGUGACUUUGCUAAUUUGAGUAUGUGUCCCUGUCUAGAUUUUACAAAUAAACUUAAAGUUUAUCAAAGGA